AUGCUGUUCCAAGGUUUUAUGGAAAAUAUUCCAAGGUUUUUGUGAGGAUAUUCCUUAAAUUCCUGUCGAUAUCCCAAGGGUUUCCUGUGCUUUUUCCAAGGUUUUAUGGAAAAUAUCCCAAGGUUUUCUGAUAUUCCAUAAAUUCCUGUCAUUAUCCCAAGGUUUCCUGAUGCUGUUCCAAGGUUUUAUGGAAAAUAUUCCAAGGUUUUUGUGAGGAUAUUCCUUAAAUUCCUGUCGAUAUUCCAAGAUUUUCCUGUGACAUUCCAUAAAUUCCUGUCGCUAUCCCGAGGUU